CCCUGAGUCUAGGCUUUCAGUUCCGGGGCAGAGGGCAGGACUGAGGUUCGCAGCCUCCUGAGGGCCCCAAAGGAGCAAGAGGAACAAAAAGGUUUGCCAUAAUUGUGGUACUUCCGGCUGGGUUGGGGCACGGAAUACCUGGGGUCACUUUUAGGAGGAGGAGUAAACCUGAAGAGCGCCUGGCCUUGGAAUAGAGAACACUGGAAGAGCCAGGGGGUCAAAGGCUCCCAGGUAGAGUUCAGAAAGCAACGGCACGAGAAACCCGAAGGCUGAGCCGUUGUCUCCCACGCCCCAGCAGCAGAGCCCAACUCCACCAUAAAGGUAUUCCUGAGGAAAGGACCGGAAGUGAGCAGAAAAUUUGACUUAGAAGAACCAGGAGAAAUAUACACAGGCGAUUGACUUUCAAGAAAGAGUCUGGAAAUGGCAACAAGAAGCAAGGAGACUUCUGACCUUCACUCCAUAACUAAAGUGAGGAGAUUGGACUCACUCUUCUCCUAGAUCCGUUCUACCUCUGAAUCUUUGGUCUUGUGAACUACCUUGUGGAUCGAAUGGACAAAAUGGGUGAACUCUUAGAAAAACAAGUUUGUAACAAAGGAACAAAAUACAAGCAUGUUUAAAGACUCCCACAGUCUCUCUUUGACUUGUAUUUCCUUAUUUCAUGGUAUU